GGCGGCUGCCGUGGCCGCGGGGGGAGCAGCGGGCGAGGCCGGGCGAGGCGCGUCUCCCCGCAGGGGCUGGAUGGGCCGCGCCGGCCGCGGGCUGCGCCCCCGCAUCCGGCCGCGGCUCGGGAGCUCGGCGCAGCGCUGCGCGGGCAGGGUUCAGGCGCGGGGUGUUUCCCGGCGCUCAGCCGCGCCGCGCGGGGAGCCGGAGCCGAGCCGAGCCCAGGACAGCCGCGGCGGACCCGCGCCCCGGAGGCAGGAGCUGGUGGAGGGAAGAGAGCUGCAGAAACUCCAGUCUGAGCAGGGCCAGACCUGAGGCACAAACCACGCACCAGGCAGGAGUGUCCAGCUGCCACAGCAGAGCCCUGCUCCAGAACCGCUGCACCUGUCUGGCUGGGCCAGCGGAACUGACCCGCGAGCGGCUGAGUCUGGGGUGUGUCCUGCCUGUUACUGUAAGACGAUGCUAGCGGCUCUGAGUAGGAAUCGACCUCUCCCCGCCCUGGGGAUCCGUCCCACCGGAGCCAGUGGCCGCCGGGCACUACAGGCCUGGGCCCCCUCCCAUAGGGCUUGAGGUGGAAUUGCCCUCACAGGAGCAUCGCUGCAGCUGCUGGCCGUGGGUGGAGCUGUCUCCCCAGAGCAGAGCCCUGAGGAUGCCCCGCUGGGAGGGUGAGCCUCGGUGAGAGGUGCUGCAAUGGCUCCCCCCUGAGGUACCAUGCCGGUUCCCGCUAUGGCAGCCACCACUGCCAGGUCUUUCUUCUGGGAGGUCUUCCCUCCCAUGCCCACCUGCCGGGUGUACUGCAGCCCUGUGUACCAGGACGGGCACCUCUUCGUGGCGGGGGGCUGUGGCCAGGCGGGGCUGCCCCUGGACACCGUGGAGAUGCUGGAUGUGCUUUCCCAGAAGUGGACGGUGCUCCCUUCACUCCUCACACCCCGGGCCGGGGCGGCUGCUGUGGCCGUGGGGAAGCAGAUCCUGGUGAUGGGGGGCAUGGAUUCCAGACAGAGCCCCCUGGCCUCCGUCGAAGUCUUCAACACAGAUGAGGGCAAGUGGGAGAAGGCGGCGGCCCUGGCCCAGCCAUCCAUGGGCGUGUCUGCCAUCGAGAGAGAUGGUUUGGUCUAUGCUCUUGGGGGCAUGGGCGCAGACACCUCUCCUCAGGCGCUAGUGCGGGUCUAUGAGCCAGCGACCGCCCACUGGCAGCUUCUGCCCUCCAUGCCCACCCCCUGCUAUGGGGCAUCUGCCUUCCUGCAGGGCAACAAGAUCUUCCUCCUGGGCGGGAGGCAGGGCAAGCUGCCCGUCACUGCCUUCGAGGCCUUCGACCUGGAGACAAGGAGCUGGACACGUUAUCCCAGCGUCCCCAGCCGGCGGGCCUUUGCCAGCUGCGCCAUGGCCGACGGCUGCUUCUUUAGCCUCGGGGGCCUGCAGCAACCGGGACCCCACAACUUCUACUCCCGGCCCCACUUUGUCAACACGGUGGAGAUGUUUGAGCCGGAGCAGGGGGCCUGGAGCAAGCUGGGCCGCGCCGUGCGCAUGCGGGAGAAGAGAGCUGACUUCGUGGCAGGCUGCCUCGGCGGGCGAGUGGUGGUGGCCGGAGGCCUCGGUGUUCCCCUCACUUCUGUGCCCAGCCGUGGUGACCUCCAGGAAGGCACGUGCCCGCUGGAUCCGAAGCUGCUGUAGGACCAAGGGAGCGCCGCACCUCCAGCUGUGCUAUCCUGUUUAUUCACCUCCCCGGGGUGGGCCAGGCCUGGGGAAAGUUAGACAGGGAUGGAGACAUGGGGGGAGCCCUGCAGGCAGCAGCGCCCCAUGUGGGAUGUGUCACGAAGCAGGAAGUGGGGAGGAUUGACUUGGGAAUGUGGCAGGGGAGGUUUACUGAGACUGUCUGCAUGGGGAAUGGGAUCGCAGGGGGUGGCUUCGCUGGAGGAACAAUACCUGAGCCCAGGAGGGGGGUUGGGGGCGUGGUGACACCUUUUCCCCAGGAAGCUGGACAAAGGCUGGAGGAGGAGCCGGCGGGAGGCUGGGGGAGUCGGCUGGAGGGGGGUUUGAGUUUGGAAGUGGACUGGAGAAACAGAAGGAGCCCCAGGACUGGGGUCUAAGCUCCCUGCCCUGCCCCCCCCCCCCCCAAUGGACCUGAGGGGGUCCUGUUGUCUGUACCUACAAGCUCUAAUUUAAACUGUGUUCCUGUCGUCCAAUAAACCUUCCGUUUUGCUGGCUGGCUAAAAGUCGCAGUAAAUCGCAACACGUGGGGGGUGCAGGGCCCUGACUCCCCCACACUCUGUAAGGGGAUGCGAGGCCAGCGCAGAAGUACACCGGCAUGUCUCCCGCAGCUGGGCUGGCUGGUUGGGAUGGUGCCUUGGAGCCACAGCACUGUCCGAUGGGGAUGCUGAGCUCCGGCUCUCUGAGGAGACUUUACCUGGCUGGUGAGCAGCCAGCAGCCUGGAGCUGAGUGCUGGGUGCAGCUGAGGAACGCAGGCUUUGCCUUUCCAGCAAAGUGAAAUCACUGGCAGCUGCUGGCUGCAGCCAUCGUGGGCUGCUGUUCGUGGGAGGGCGCUGUUCCCGCUCUCCAGGGAGUGCCUGGUGUAGGGGGGUACAGCAGCAUGGUUGGACGGGGGCACUGUUCAGCCACUCUCUGCAGGCCUGUGUCUAGGAGGAGCACCCAGUCGUUCCUGGUCCCUGCCCCUCUCGGCUCGGAGACCUGGAACAGGGCAGGGGAGAAGCGCGCUGGCUGUGGGGCAGGUGGUGCUCCCUGGCUCUCCCAGCAAGGGUCUGUUAACUUGGGGAAAGCGGACAGCUGAAUUUCUACAACGUGCUGCAGCAGACACAGGGCAGAGCUGCUCUUUGUGGGCAGCCCAGGUGCCUUGUGGUGUCCUGCGAUGACGAUAAGGGAACCAGUCAUUCCCCCUGGGCUCAGUGGAAGGAUUUAGCAUACCAAGGAAGAAAUGGGAGCUGCUGCCCCCCAUGCCCACUGGUCGUUGCUCCUGCUCCAGCUACCAGGCCCCAAGCCUGCUGUUUGUG